GUGACUGUCCUGUAAACAUCCCCGGGGCUCCCGGGAGUCCCGGGGCCUCGGGGAAAACCCACUGCCUACCCUCCGCCCCUGGGGCUGCGGCCGGCCGCCUCGCAUCAGCGAGGUCCCCUCUCCCCGGGCGGUUCCCAGGGGAAGGCACCUCUCUGACCCGUUCACCAUUGAUGAGGGCCAGAAGAUAAGCAGAAGAUAAACUGAUGGGAGGGUCAACUACCAAGCUGUGAGAAGUCCUAUGGAGAGGCCCAUGUAGCCAGGAACUGAGGCCUCUUGCCAACAGCCAUCUGAGUGCUUCAUCUUGGAUGUGGAUCCUCUAGCCCCAGUGAAGCCUUGAGAUGAAUGUAGGCCCAGCUGACAAUUUGACUGCAACCUCUUAAGAGAUUGUGAGCUGAAACCACCCAGCUAAGCCAUUCCCAGAUUCCUAAACCACAGAAACCAGUGAGAUAAUAAAUAUUUGUUGUUUUAAGCCA